rnacentral:miRNA from 1 species
UGACUAGAUUUUACACUCACUAA